CCCGCCCCGAGCCCUGGCUCCCGCCGCCGGCGCCCGCGAUUGGCCGCGUUGGGCGCCAAUGCCCGCCCCGUGCGAGCCGCCCCCGCCCCCGCGGAGGGGAGCGAGCGCUCGCGGGCCCGUGGUGGGUUCGGCUGCGCUGCGUGAGGGGCUGAGGCGGUCGUGGUGGCGCGAGCGCAGGGAGCGGACAUUGGGUUCCUGAACCUCGGUGCUGAAGACAGCCAGGCCUCCAGCACAGGGUCAAACAGUGCUGCUUCUUGGAAAAACUGAAAAAGGUAUGUAGCGUUUUCUCUUACUUCACGAGCUUGGAAUCCCUUGUUUUUGAGCAAAGGAACAAACAAGCCAGAGUGUUUCGUGCGCACAUGACACACUGGGAAUUGUGUCACCGUGAAACGAGCUCCGGGCUCCCAGCCAGGAAACCCGAGUUCAAAUCCCAGGUCCACCUCUGAGAGGCUCUGCCAUGUCUGGGCGGGUUCCUUUCAUCUCCCUGCAGAGGAAAUAACACUCUGUGACUUCCCAAGCGUGGUGCCGGCCGUUGGCGAAGGG
rnacentral:lncRNA from 1 species